ACCCACGUAGCUCAAUGGCAGAGCGCGGGACCUCGGUCCCAGCGGUGUCGGUUCGAAUCCGACCGUGGGUU
rnacentral:tRNA from 1 species